UAGGUCACCAGGUGUCUAGAUGUGUCCAGAUAGGUCACCAGGUGUCUAGAUGUGUCCAGAUGGGUCACCAGGUGUCUAGAUGUGUCCAGAUAGGCCACCAGGUGUCUAGAUGUGUCCAGAUGGGUCACCAGGUGUCUAGAUGAAUCCAGAUAGGUCACCAGGUGUCUAGAUUAAUCCAGAUGGGUCACCAGAUGUCUAGAUUAAUCCAGAUGAGUCACCAGGUGUCUAGAUCUGUCCAGAUGAGUCACCAGGUGUCUAGAUGAGUCACCAGGUGUCUAGAUUAAUCCAGAUGGUGUCUAGAUUAAUCCAGAUGGGUCACCAGGUGUCUAGAUGAAUCCAGAUGAGUCACCAGGUGUCUAGAUGGGUCCAGAUGAGUCACCAGGUGUCUAGAUUAAUCCAGAUGGGUCACCAGGUGUCUAGAUUAAUCCAGAUGGGUCACCAGGUGUCUAGAUGUGUCCAGGUGUCACCAGGUGUCUAGAUUAAUCCAGAUGAGUCACCAGGUGUCUAGAUUAAUCCAGAUGGGUCACCAGGUGUCUAGAUGUGUCCAGAUGAGUCACCAGGUGUCUAGAUGGGUCACCAGGUGGUGUCUAGAUGUGUCCAGGUGUCACCAGGUGUCCAGAAUUGUCCAGAUGAGUCACCAGGUGUCUAGAUUAAUCCAGAUGAGUCACCAGGUGUCUAGAUUAAUCCAGAUGAGUCACCAGGUGUCUAGAUUCAUCCAGAUGAGUCACCAGGUGUCUAGAUUAAUCCAGGUGGGUCACCAGGUGUCUAGAUUAAUCCAGAUGGGUCACCAGGUGUCUAGAUUAAUCCAGAUGAGUCACCAGGUGUCUAGAUGUGUCCACUCUCACCAGGUGUGUGUAAAGGUGUCCAGAAGUGUCCACUCUCACCAGCUGUGUGUAAAGGUGUCCAGAAGUGUCCACUCUCACCAGGUGUGUGUAAAGGUGUCCUGUGUAUCCAGGUGUGCUGAGGUGUUGUGAUCAUAAAGGGAAUCCGUUAAACGGGACGUCUAGUGACGUUCAUCUUAUAGACUGAUCUCAGGCCUGUCCCAACUCAU
ensembl:lncRNA